rnacentral:rRNA from 1 species
CGGCGAGUGGCGGACGGGUGAGUAACGCGUGGGAAUCUGCCCGACGGUGGGGGACAACUCGGGGAAACCCGGGCUAAUACCGCAUACGUCCUAAGGGAGAAAGGGGGCCUCUGCUUGCAUGCUCUCGCCGACGGAUGAGCCCGCGUCCGAUUAGCUUGUUGGUAAGGUAAAAGCUUACCAAGCCUAAGACGGGUAGCCGGCCUUAGCGGGUGAACGGCCACAUGGGGACUGAGACACGGCCCUGACUCCUACGGGAGGCAGCAGUGGGGAAUAUUGGGCAAUGGGCGAAAGCCUGACCCAGCGAUGUCGCGUGAGGGAUGAAGGCCUUCGGGUCGUAAACCUCUGUCAGGAGGGACGAUGGGACUUAUGUCUUGACGGUACCUCCAGAGGAAGCCCCGGCUAACUCCGUGCCAGCAGCCGCGGUAAUACGGAGGGGGCAAGCGUUGCUCGGAAUUACUGGGCGUAAAGGGUCCGCAGGCUGUCAGGCAAGUUGGUUGUGAAAGCUCAAGGCUUAACCUUGGAAUUGCAUCCAAAACUGCCUGACUAGAGUACAAGAGAGGUUGGCAGAAUUCCCGGUGUAGCGGUGAAAUGCAUAGAUAUCGGGAGGAAUACCAGAGGCGAAGGCGGCCAACUGGCUUGUAACUGACGCUCAGGGACGAAAGCGUGGGUAGCAAACCGGAUUAGAUACCCGGGGUAGUCCACGCCCUAAACGAUGGAUGCUAGGGUAGGGGGGAAUUUCAU